rnacentral:snoRNA from 1 species
AACCCAUGGUGAGGGCACCGUCUCAAUAAGUCCUUAUACCUCUCCCAUGCAUCAUAUCGAGUCUUAAGUCAAUCCGAACGAAGGAAGAGAUAUCAUUCCUCAACUU